GGGGCAACUCCUGAUAGUGGCGCAAGGGUGAGGAACACGUGAGCAAUCUGCCUUGAAGUUGGGAAUAGCUCCGGGAAACUGGAAUUAAUACCGAAUGUGGCAGCGAGACCGCAUGGUUUUGCUGCUAAAGGCGUAAGCCGCUUCUAGAGGAGCUCGCGUCCUAUUAGCUAGUUGGUGAGGUAAUGGCCCACCAAGGCGAAGAUGGGUAGCUGGUCUGAGAGGACGACCAGCCACAUUGGGACUGAGACACUGCCCAGACUCCUACGGGAGGCUGCAGUCGAGAAUCUUGGGCAAUGGGCGAAAGCCUGACCCAGCAAUUCCGCGUGCGGGAUGAAGGUCUUCGGAUUGUAAACCGCUGUCACUGGGGACGAAUUUUGACGGUACCUGGAGAGGAAGACACGGCUAACUACGUGCCAGCAGCCGCGGUAAUACGUAGGUGUCAAGCGUUGUUCGGAUUUAUUGGGCGUAAAGGGUCCGCAGGUGGCCUGGCAAGUCUGAUGUGAAAUCCCGGA
rnacentral:rRNA from 1 species